AAAAUCGGACUCCAGUGCUUACCUAACUCUAUGAUAAGCGUAAUGUUAAACGUUUGCGUCUGCUCAGAGUUUUUUCCGCAAAAAUGCGGCUUUUCUGGCCGGUUAACAGGCGGCUGGCGGAGAAAAAACGCCUGAAAAGAUGCGCAUACGGAAUCAGGGUUGCGCGCGUUGCGCAACAAAGGCGGGAUUCUAACAAGGCUGAACGGAUAAAACGAGAUUUUUACCGGACCCUGUGGGAAAAUGCUAUAUCCCUGCAAAGCGUGUGACUAAGGAGCAAGCAAUGAGUACCGAUUUGAAACUGGCUUUGAUGACCACUGUCGGCUGUCUGCUGAUGAUUGUGGCCUUUAGUUUUACUGCCAUUCUGCACUAAUAA
rfam:Pantoea vagans C9-1, complete genome.